GAAUAACAUUUUUUGCUAUUUUUGACCAAUAACGCAAUGAUACGUAAGAUAAUUUUUUCACGUAUCAUUGUGUUAUUGGGCGGGAAUAUCAAAAUAGUGUUAUCC
rfam:Prunus persica cultivar Lovell chromosome G7, whole genome shotgun sequence.